rnacentral:rRNA from 1 species
UAGGGAAUCUUCCACAAUGGACGCAAGUCUGAUGGAGCAACGCCGCGUGAGUGAAGAAGGUUUUCGGACCGUAAAGCUCUGUUGUUGGUGAAGAAGGAUAGAGGUAGUAACUGGCCUUUAUUUGACGGUAAUCAACCAGAAAGUCACGGCUAACUACGUGCCAGCAGCCGCGGUAAUACGUAGGUGGCAAGCGUUGUCCGGAUUUAUUGGGCGUAAAGCGAGCGCAGGCGGAAGAAUAAGUCUGAUGUGAAAGCCCGUCGGCUUAACCGAGGAAUUGCAUCGGAAAC